rnacentral:rRNA from 1 species
AUUGAACGCUGGCGGCAUGCCUUACACAUGCAAGUCGAACGGCAGCACGGGUGCUUGCACCUGGUGGCGAGUGGCGAACGGGUGAGUAAUACAUCGGAACGUACCUUAUCGUGGGGGAUAACGCAGCGAAAGUUGCGCUAAUACCGCAUACGCCCUGAGGGGGAAAGCGGGGGACCGUAAGGCCUCGCGCGUUUAGAGCGGCCGAUGUCUGAUUAGCUUGUUGGUGAGGUAAAAGCUCACCAAGGCGAUGAUCAGUAGCUGGUCUGAGAGGACGAUCAGCCACACUGGGACUGAGGCGCGGCCCAGGCUCCUACGGGGGGCAGCAGUUGGGAAUUUUGGAAGCUGGGGGCAACCCUGAGCCAGCAAUGCCGCGUGAGUGAAGAAGGCCUUCGGGUUGUAAAGCUCUUUUGUCAGGGAAGAAACAGCAGCUCUAACACAGUCUGCGAAUGACGGUACCUGAAGAAUAAGCACCGGCUAACUACGUGCCAGCCGCCGCGGUAA